rnacentral:rRNA from 1 species
UACAGAGACUGCAAGCGUUAUUCGGAUUCACUGGGCGUAAAGGGUGCGCAGGCGGUCGGGUGUGUCAGAUGUGAAAUCCCGAGGCUCAACCUCGGAACUGCGUCUGAAACUACUCGACUAGAGUACUGGAGAGGGUAACGGAAUUCACGGUGUAGCAGUGAAAUGCGUAGAUAUCGUGAGGAACACCAGUGGCGAAGGCGGCUUGCCAGAACGCGCUCGACGGUGAGGGAUGAAAGCUGGGGGAGCAAACCGG